AUAGGCAUGAACCACUAUGCCCAACCCAUCCACAUGUAUUUUAAAUGAUGAUUUUUUUUUUUUUUUUAACUGAAAGAGUUUAUGAAACUGGCUCUCACUUAGGACACCUAAGAACCAAAGGCAAUGUGUGGACUUUGAUUGGGCCUGGUGUGAAAAAACAGCUGGAAAAGGCAUUACUGGGAUAACAGAACGCUUAAAUAGCAUCUCAGUAUUAAAUAAUAUUAAAUAAUUAUUGGAAAUUGUUAGUUGUGAUAAUAGUACUGUUAAACCUAGGUGAUGAGUUUGAAUGAUGGAUUUGAAGCCAAACUCUUGCUUUCCAGCUUUGUGAGCUUGGGCAAAUUGUUUAGCUUUUGUGCUUUGGUAGCUGUUUAAUGAUAUAGUAUAGUGCUUGACAAAAGUAAGUGUUGAAUUUAUUUUUUAUUGUAACUAAUAUUGCAUGUUUAAUCCCCAGGAUUUCUGGUACUCUCUUUUUGGUACUUUCUUCUAUCUCUUCUUACUUACCUUGGUUAGUAUCUUGAAUCAAGAACUUCCUGGGUCUCUAUUCCAAUACCUUUUUCUUAAGAAACGAUUCCCUCACCUUUCUUAUUGACAGAAUAAAGAAAGAGAGCUUUUCUUUGCUUUUCCUCUUCCCUCAUUCUCCUUCCUAGAUUUCUGGUUAAGAAGAAUAAAUUAGAAUAAGCAAAAAAGUUUUGAGGUAGGACAUAUAUUUUAAUGAUUAACUCAAUCAAGGUCUGUGCAGCUUUAUUCUAGAGACUGAUUCCUCUUCUCAAGUUGUGUAUAUUACAGUAAAGGUGAAUGGAUACACACACACACACACACACAUACACAUAUGUAUUUGUAUAUGUGUGCAGAGGAUGUUUCCUUAAGAAGAACCUAGAUCAUAGAGUGCUUUAAAAUCAGUUAAUCACUUAGCAUGCUUAUGAAUCUGAAGUUAGUGGGAUGUUUGCAUUGAAUAUUCUGAAGUUAAUGAGGUAUUCUAAAUUAAUUUUAACUUCUGAGUCUCCAGGAAAGCUUUCAGAAUUUAUACUUACUACCCAGGUGAGAAGUUGCAGUAGAAUAAAAGGGAAUCUUUCCCAAACUUGUGGAAUUUUAGAGUCGGAACGGGCCUUAGACAUUCCAGUGCUUCAUUUGCCACAUGAGAAGGCUGAUAUCUGAACCAAACAGAUAAUUUCAGAACCUCUGGAUACCAAACUUGUGAAGCUAAAACAGAAAUGUCAACUUGGGAUUUAGAGGAAAAUAAUAAUGCGUAGAAACGGUUUUGAAAAAAAGGUUUUAGAUAUUUUUGUGCUCCGUGUUUUCCUGCAUAUGUCUCCCUUUUCUCUGCCAAACUGCUUUUCACACCCGGUCCUUGGACUCUUUGAGCACUUCCCUGCCAUAUAACUGACUUUCAGAAAUUGAAUGAAGCUGUAAAUGUCGAAGCAGGACUGGCCAUAAGAGUCUCUUAAUACCUGGAUAGUCCAGUCACAAAGGUCUUUACUGUCAUUCAGCUGACUUUUGGCUCGCUAAAUAUAGCUGAAUAUCACAAAUUCUAAUUGUUAAAACCCUCCCUCAUUUUAAUUUUGAACUAGAAAACUAGACAAAAUUUGGUAAGAAUAAAUUUCAGCAAACUGUAGAAUUAUGAUCUAGAGUAUCUCAAAAUUUUAUCCCAUUUUACUUUGAAUAAUGUUAGAAAUAUACUAUGCUAGGCUGUCAGUUGGAUCCUUUUAGUACUACAUAAGUAAGUUAUAAAUUACCUAAAUUCCUCUCAGUACUUUCAGAGAAAGCUAACAUUACCGUAAUUGUGGAAAAAUUAGAGACUGACCUAAAAGCUCCUCUGCUCCUUUUCAAAUCUCCUCCUGGUUCAGCCUGCCUGCCUCCACUUCUGCCUCCACCGUGUCCAUCAGGGUGACCUAGCAGCCCUACAGGGUAUUCACCUCUGGCCCCCGGGCCUUCAGCAGUUGCUCCUACAUGAGCAGGCCCAGGGCCUGUAUCAGCUCCUUGAUUGUCUCCCUAGUGGGCAGCAGCAGCAGCUUCCAGGGUGUCUGGGGCGCUGGCAUGGGUCUGGCUAGAGGCUAUGGUGGGGCCAGGAGUAGGGGAGGCAUCACAGUCAUCACAGUUAACCAGAACCUGCUGAGCCACCUUAAGCUGGAAGUGGACCCCAACAUUCAGGCCAUGUGCACCCAGAAGAAGGAGCAGAUUUAGACCCUCAACAACAACUUUGCCUCCUUCAUCGACAAGGUGCAGUUCAUGGAGCAGCAGAACAAGAUGCUGGGAACCAAGUGGAGCCUCCUGCAGCAGCAGAAGACGGCUCAGAGCAACAUGGACAACAUGUUCGAGAGUGACUUCAACAGCCUUCUGUGGCAGCUGGACACUCUGGGCCAGGAGAAGCUGAAGCUGGAGGCAGAGCUUGGCAACACGCAGGAGAUGGUAGAGAACUUCAAGAACAAGUACAAAAAUGAGAUCAAUAACCGUACAGAGCUGGAGAAUGAAUUUGUUCUCAUCAAGAAGGAUGUGGAUGAAGCUUAUGUGAACAAGGUAGAGGUGGAGUCUCACCUGGAAGGGCUGACUGAUGAGAUCAACUUCCUUAGGCAGCUUUGUGAAGAGGAGAUCCGGGAGCUGCAGUUCCCGACCUUGUGCACAUCAGUGGUGCUGUCCUUGGACAACAGCUGCUCCCUGGACAUGGUCAGCAUCAUUGCUGAGGUCAAGGCCCGGUAUGAGGAGACGGCUAACCGCAGCCGGGCCAAGGCUGAGAGCAUGUACCAGAUCAAGUAUGAGAAGCUGCAGACGCUGGCCUGGAAUCAUGGGGAUGACCUGCGUUGUACAAAGACUGAGAUCUCCAAGAUGAACCGGAACAUCAGCUGGCUCCAGGCUGAGAUUGAGGGCCUUAAAGGCCAGAGGGCUUCCCUGGAGGCCACCAUCUCAGAUGCCAAGCCGCACUGGGAGCUGACCAUUAAGGAUGCCAAUGCCAAGCUUUCUGAGCUGGAGGCUGCCCUACAGCAGACCAAGAAGGACAUGUGUGGCCUCUGCAUGAGUACCAGGAGCUGAUGAAUGUCAAGCUUGCCCUGGACAUCGAGAUUGCCACCUACAGGAAGCUGCUGGAGGGUAAGGAGAGCUGGCUGGAGUCUGGGAUGCAGAACAUGAGUAUCCAUAUGAAGACCACCAGUGGCUAUGCAGACGAGCUGAGCUUCGCCUACAGGGACUUAACAAGCCCUGGCCUCACCUAUGGCCUGGGCUCCAGCUUUGGUUCUGGCAGGGGCUGGAGCCAGCUCCUUCAGCUGUACCAGCUCCUUCAGGGCUGUGGCUGUAAAGAAGAUCAAGACCCGUGAUGGGAAGCUGGUGUUCAAAUCCUCUGAUGUCCUGCCGAAGUGAAGGGCCACAGCAGCCCCACCCAGUCUACCUACCCUGGGGCUGCCCCAGAGCCUGUUGGAGAGGCUACAGUGCAGGGCUGCACAGGAAACAGGAGACCCACCUGUUUUAGUCCCUUUUCACACUGCUUAUAAAGACAUACCCAAGACUUGGAAGAAAAAGAGGUUUAAUGGGCUUACAGUUCCACAAGGCUGGGGAGUCCUUAAAAUCCACCGCACCCAGCGAAAAAUUUUAAAAAAUAAUUAUAACUGGCCGAGGCAGGUGGAUUACCUGAGGUCUGGAAUUCGAGACCAGCCUGGCCAACAUGGUGAAACCCCAUCUCUACUGAAAAUAUAAAAAUUA